rnacentral:rRNA from 1 species
UACGUAGGGGGGCAAGCGUUUGUCCGGAAUCAUUGGGCGUAAAGAGCGUGUAGGCGGUUCGGUAAGUCCGCUGUGAAAGUCGGGGGCUCAACCCUCGAAUGCCGGUGGAUACUGUCGAACUAGAGUGCGGAAGAGGCGAGUGGAAUUCCUGGUGUAGCGGUGAAAUGCGCAGAUAUCAGGAGGAACACCAAUUGCGAAGGCAGCUCGCUGGGACGUAACUGACGCUGAGACGCGAAAGCGUGGGGAGCAAACAGG